UUUCUUUUCCAUUUGUUGUUUUUUCUUUGGCUUUCACUUCUCCGUUUGUCAUUUUCCAUUUUCUAUCUGUUUUAUGCUUUCUUUCUUUCAUUUUCAGCUUUGGUUUUCUCUCUAAUCGCUGCGUCGUGGUGUUUUUCUUGCAAAUUGUUAACGGAGCAGGUUGUAUUGUUUGGAAUUAUAGUUUCAGCAAAUUCAGCUUUCUUGGGUUUUGUUGCUAGGUUUUUACAGCUUUAUGCAAACCAAACUUGCCCCCUCUCCACAUCAGCCGCAUCUGCUGCCGCCAUGAUGCUCCAGCACCAGCUCAUGAUGUCCCGAUCAAGCGCCACCGACUCCGACUUUGGUCCCAUGCGAUUGUCUUUGGGAAACAACGGCGACUUUGACCUCUCCAACAACGACGUCGGCGAUGGCUCCUCCUUCAAAUAGCCCAAUUAAGUGGGAGGCGAUGGGGCUUCUCCUGUAAAAUCCUUGCUCAAUGGCUUCGGUGUAUCACUGCAUGGAGCUACUAAUUCUCAGUCUCCAAAUUUUCAACACCCUCGGCAUGCAGAAGACGUCUUUGUUAAAGGUGAUAAUUUUGGCUACUGGCUUUUGUGUGUUGUUAUAGAGUUGAAUUGAAUUUAUUUUUUCUUCUAAGAGUUAAUGUUAUGUAUGGUCUCUCUCUUGGUUAUUUUGUUUUUUUUUUAUUUGGCUUAUUGGUGUUAUACCGUCUGCUUCGUUAGUAGGAAGGUGUGUGAAAAGGGCGUGUAUAUUUCGCCUGUGGAUUUGGUCUUUUUAUUGUUGGAUUUUGUUGUUUUCAGAUUUUAUUUAUUUAUUUUAAUUUUUUUUUGCAGAUUUUGUUGUAACAUGCUGUGUAGGGAGAUUCAAAGAGUAUUGCCAUAACAUGUUGAAUUUAAUCACCAUAUGUUGAUAUACACUUUAUAGGAAUGAAUGUUCCAUUUCUAUGCAUUUGUUUAAUACUGUUAAGUGUAAAGUAGCACAAAAUUUGGCUAUAAUUAUAGGGUGCAUGUGUUAUAAUUGGAUUUUGGCAUCCAAGUAUAAGGAUAAGUCAUUUGUCUAUUUAGUAAUUGUUGUGAUUCUAGCUAUAACCCCACAUUAAGCAAAUUGGAAAAAUAAUGGAUAAGUUUCUUACAUGAUGUUAUGUUUACAGUAACUAUGUUCAUUAGGAACAAGAAUUUCGUCUUUUGUAUUACAAAUUGAACCCCUGUUGGAUAGGUGAGGUGUAGGAGUUUAAUUUGUGUCUUUUAUUUAGUGUAUCUGAUGACAAUUCAGGUUUGAUAAAUUUUUAGUUAUUCCAAUAUUUCUUGAGCUUUUUUUUUUUUAAUUGCUCAUAAAAAAUUGCAUCCAUUUUGAAUAGUUGAAAUGGAAGCUGUGAGGCCAACUCCUCUGGAUCAGUUGCGACCGUACGAAAACGCGGAAAAAAAUUAAAGUCUGCAUAUUUGUCUGUUGACCAAAUUACAAGAUAAUUUAUAAUGUCUUCGGUUUCAAUUCAUCUACUCUAAUUUAUACAUUUUUGUGAUUUCGGAUUUGUACAUGAAUUGAAAUUUAAUUUUUCUGAUUUCAGCUCUCAUUGGGAUCCUUACUCUCCAUCAUUAAAAUCCUUUUUGUGUGAUAUUCGCCUCCAGUCACGGUUGCAAAUACACAAACCGUCAAGGUUAAUUUGGUUUUGUUAAACUAAAGACAUUAGACGAGUGGAACCGGCUGUGUUUUAAA